rnacentral:rRNA from 1 species
UACAGAGGUCUCAAGCGUUUGUUCGGAUUCAUUGGGCGUAAAGGGCGCGUAGGUGGCCCGGUCAGUCCGUGGUGAAAGCGCGGGGCUCAACCCCGCGUCGGCCAUGGAUACUGCUGGGCUGGAGCACUGUAGAGGCAGGCGGAAUUCCGGGUGUAGCGGUGGAAUGCGUAGAGAUCCGGAAGAACACCGGUGGCGAAGGCGGCCUGCUGGGCAGUUGCUGACACUGAGGCGCGACAGCGUGGGGAGCAAACAGG